rnacentral:rRNA from 1 species
UACGUAGGGGGCAAGCGUUAUCCGGAUUUACUGGGUGUAAAGGGAGCAUAGACGGCAGUGCAAGUCUGGAGUGAAAGGCGGGGGCUCAACCCCCGGACUGCUCUGGAAACUGUACGGCUGGAGUGCAGGAGAGGUAAGUGGAAUUCCUAGUGUAGCGGUGAAAUGCGUAGAUAUUAGGAGGAACACCAGUGGCGAAGGCGGCUUACUGGACUGUAACUGACGUUGAGGCUCGAAAGCGUGGGGAGCAAACAGG